rnacentral:tRNA from 1 species
UGUCGAGGGAAGGGAAUCGAACCCACAGUGUUCCGCUUACCGGGCAGAUGCCAUUGUCCACUAGGCUACCCCGGAC